UUUGUACUAGGCUAAGGAAUU
rnacentral:miRNA from 1 species